UACGAAGGGUGCAAACGUUGCUCGGAAUCAUUGGGCGUAAAGCGCACGUAGGCGGGCGCAGUAAGUCGGACGUGAAAUCCCUCGGCUCAACCGAGGACGUGCAUCCGAAACUACUGUGCUCGAGUAUGGAAGAGGGUCGCGGAAUUCUCGGUGUAGAGGUGAAAUUCGUAGAUAUCGGGAGGAACACCAGUGGCGAAGGCGGCGCCUGGGCCAAUACUGACGCUGGAGGUGGCGAAAAGCGUGGGGAGCAAACAGG
rnacentral:rRNA from 1 species